ACCAAUACACGCGCGCAUAUACACCGAAGUAGCACCAGCAACGCCACACCGCCGCCACCACCACCGCCACGACCACCACACCACCAGCACCACUACUACCAACACCGCCACUGCCACCGACGUGGAGGCACUGCACCUCUCUCACAGUUUUCGCCACUUUUUCGCACGGCCCUCGCCCACCUCCGUCACAUACAUAUUCCGUGGAGCAGCCAGCGUUUGCGCGCACCUUCGUUUCACUCAAUGGACGUUUCCGGGACAGGCGCUGCACCACCGCCGCCGCCGUGGACGCUGCUGCUGCUGCUCCCGUUGCCGCUAAUCCACUACUGACUGCCCGUACCCGUACCUGUCGUUCCAACACGCACGACCACGAUCGGGGGAUCGCUCGGGCUCGACUGCCGCACGAUGGCCCUACUUCGGCCAUCUUCGGUUCGCUUCGGCGAUUUACGCUCACUUUCACAGGGACGACGAUAUUGUGGGCGCAUCAAGCACCCCGUCCUCGUUUCCUCUCGAAUGACUCAUGUGCCACACUGACGUAUACACAUUUUAACAGUUGUUGCUUUAAGAAACCAUCACGGCCUCUUUAUCGUAUGAAUCUGCAGAACAUAUGGACAUUGCCACAUGAAAAUGUUAUAGAAUUAAAAGUUAUUCGCAAUAAGCCUCGCUAGUUUGAACAGCAUAAACAUUGAAUUUUCCACAAAUGUUUUAUAUCUUUUCAAAAACAUAUGCUUUUCGUUACUACUCUAAUAUCAAUUUUUUUCCGCAUUUGAGCGGAAUCAUAAUGACGUCGAUGGAUGACGCGAAUCGCUUUUCCAAUACGAUCAAUUUAUGAAAUUUUAUUUUGCUUUAUGAGCAAUUUUAUUUAGAAUCAUGAUAUACAUAACGCAUAAUGAAAAAUAUAUGCGUAACGUUCAUUUUAUCCGUUAAUUUUGUAAUGCUAAAUUACAACGAAAUAAACGUUUGUUUCGUGCAAUCGUUUUCUUCAUCGAUUUCUCGUUUUACCAUGCGCCACGAUACGCCGGUUUCCGACAAAAAAAA